rnacentral:rRNA from 1 species
AUUGAACGCUGGCGGCAGGCUUAACACAUGCAAGUCGAGCGGGGUGAUGGUGCUUGCACUAUCACUUAGCGGCGGACGGGUGAGUAAUGCUUAGGAAUCUGCCUAUUAGUGGGGGAUAACAUCUCGAAAGGUAUGCUAAUACCGCAUACGUCCUACGGGAGAAAGCAGGGGAUCACUCGUGACCUUGCGCUAAUACAUGAGCCUAAGUCGGAUUAGCGAGUUGGUGGGGUAAAGGCCUACCAAGGCGACGAGCUGUAGCGGGUCUGAGAGGAUGAUCCGACACACUGGGACUGAGACACGGCCCAGACUCCUAGGGGAGGCAGCAGUGGGGAAUAUUGGACAAUGGGGGGAACCCUGAUCCAGCCAUGCCGCGUGUGUGAAGAAGGCCUUAUGGUUGUAAAGCACUUUAAGCGAGGAGGAGGCUCUUUUGGUUAACACCCAAGAUGAGUGGACGUUACUCGCAGAAUAAGCACCGGCUAACUCUGUGCCAGCCGCCGCGGUAA